AGUGAACGCUGGCGGUAGGCCUAACACAUGCAAGUCGAACGGCAGCACAGUAAGAGCUUGCUCUUACGGGUGGCGAGUGGCGGACGGGUGAGGAAUAUAUCGGAAUCUACUUUUUCGUGGGGGAUAACGUAGGGAAACUUACGCUAAUACCGCAUACGACCUACGGGUGAAAGCAGGGGAUCUUCGGACCUUGCGCGAUUGAAUGAGCCGCUGUCGGUUUAGCUAGUUGGCGGGGUAAAGGCCCACCAAGGCGACGAUCCGUAGCUGGUCUGAGAGGAUGAUCAGCCACACUGGAACUGGAACACGGUCCAGACUCCUACGGGAGGCAGCAGUGGGGAAUAUUGGACAAUGGGCGCAAGCCUGAUCCAGCCAUACCGCGUGGGUGAAGAAGGCCUUCGGGUUGUAAAGCCCUUUUGUUGGGAAAGAAAAGCAGCAGGUUAAUACCCCGCUGUUCUGACGGUACCCAAAGAAUAAGCACCGGCUAACUUCGUG
rnacentral:rRNA from 1 species